ensembl:snoRNA small nucleolar RNA ACA64
GUUGGUUGAAAAUCACCUGUGAUCUUGGCCAUGGCCAUGGGUGAGAGUCGGCACCCAAAGCCACGUGGGGCCUCAGCUCACUGUCCACUCGAUGUGGGGAGGUGAAACCCAGGCCCCGACAUGC